rnacentral:rRNA from 1 species
CCUACGGGGGGCUGCAGUAAGGAAUAUUGGUCAAUGCCCGGAAGGGUGAACCAGCCAUCCCGCGUGAAGGAUGAAGGGGCUCUGCCUUGUAAACUUCUUUUGUAUGGGGCGAAAAAAGGGGAUUUAUCCUCGACUGACGGUACCAUAAGAAUAAGCACCGGCUAACUCCGUGCCAGCAGCCGCGGUAAUACGGAGGGUGCGAACGUUAUCCGGAAUCACUGGGUUUAAAGGGUGCGUAGGCUGUUUAAUAAGUCAGUGGUGAAAGGCCGUCGCUUAACGAUGGGACUGCCAUUGAUACUGUUAGACUUGAAUCAGGUUGAGGUUGGCGGAAUGUGGCAUGUAGCGGUGAAAUGCAUAGAUAUGCCAUGGAAUACCGAUUGCGAAGGCAGCUGACUGGACCUUGAUUGACGCUGAGGCACGAAAGCGUGGGUAGCGAACAGGAUUAGAUACCCGUGUAGUC